CAAGGUUUCCGUAGGUGAACCUGCGGAAGGAUCAUUACAAAUGUCUGGGAUGUCCAAUCGGGCCCCCAAGCAAACACAUCCAUGUGUACACUCCCAUGUUGCUUCCCCAGAUCAGUGGCCACUGCUGCCAGCCCACCCCCUCAAUUGGGGUCCUGGGUUGAGGUGUCUGGGGAAGGGCCCAAUAACAAACCUUUGAACCAAUUAGUUGUCUGAGUAGGCCACCCGCCGCAAUCUUUAAAACAUGUUAAAACUUUCAACAACGGAUCUCUUGGCUCUCGCAUCGAUGAAGAACGCAGCGAAAUGCGAUAAGUAAUGUGAAUUGCAGAAUUCAGUGAAUCAUCGAAUCUUUGAACGCACAUUGCGCCCUUUGGUAUUCCUUAGGGCAUGCCUGUUCGAGCGUCACUAAAAACCCCCUCACAGAUAAUGUGGUAUUGGUAGAAGUGAACGGUACUUACAUUACCUUGUCUCACUCUGCUGAAAUGAAUAGGCCAGAGAAGUGGACCCAUGGUAAUUGACUCCAGGAGUGUUUUUCAAUGCUAAACUAGUCUUUACCCAAGUCAAAUUCUGAGCUACCGGACCUCCCAUUAAGUCCAAAACAGAGUUGGUUGACCUCGGAUCAGGUAGGGAUACCCGCUGAACUUAAGCAUAUCAAU
rnacentral:rRNA from 1 species